rnacentral:rRNA from 1 species
ACGUGAGCAACCUGCCCUUCGGAGGGGGACAACAGCGGGAAACUGCCUGCUAAUACCGCAUAACGUAUCCUGGAGGCAGUCUCGGGGAUACCAAAGAUUUUUAUCGGCCGAAGGAUGGGCUCGCGUCUGAUUAGAUAGUUGGCGGGGUAACGGCCCACCAAGUCUGCGAUCAGUAGCCGGACUGAGAGGUUGAACGGCCACAUUGGGACUGAGAUACGGCCCAGACUCCUACGGGAGGCAGCAAGUGGGGAAUAGUUGGGCAAUGGGGGCAAACCCCCUGACCCCAGCAACGCCGCGUGGAGGAAGAAGGCUUUCGGGUUGGUAAACUCCUUUGACGAGGGACGAAGAUGACGGUACCUCGAAAACAAGCCACGGCUAACUGCGUGCCAGCCGCUGC